UACGGAGGGUGCAAGCGUUAUCCGGAUUCACUGGGUUUAAAGGGUGCGUAGGUGGGUUGAUAAGUCAGUGGUGAAAUCCCCGAGCUUAACUUGGGAACUGCCAUUGAUACUAUUGAUCUUGAAUACCGUGGAGGUCAGCGGAAUAUGUCAUGUAGCGGUGAAAUGCUUAGAUAUGACAUAGAACACCAAUUGCGAAGGCAGCUGGCUACGCGAAUAUUGACACUGAUGCACGAAAGCGUGGGGAUCAAACAGGAGU
rnacentral:rRNA from 1 species